AACGAACGCUGGCGGCAGGCUUAACACAUGCAAGUCGAGCGCCCCGCAAGGGGAGCGGCAGACGGGUGAGUAACGCGUGGGAAUCUACCCAUCUCUACGGAAUAACGCAUGGAAACGUGUGCUAAUACCGUAUACGUCCUUCGGGAGAAAGAUUUAUCGGAGAUGGAUGAGCCCGCGUUGGAUUAGCUAGUUGGUGGGGUAAAGGCCUACCAAGGCGACGAUCCAUAGCUGGUCUGAGAGGAUGAUCAGCCACACUGGACCUGAGACACGGCCCAGACUCCUACGGGAGGCAGCAGUGGGGAAUAUUGGACAAUGGGCGCAGGCCUGAUCCGGCCAUGCCGCGUGAGUGAUGAAGGCCCUAGGGUUGUAAAGCUCUUUCACCGGUGAAGAUAAUGACGGUAACCGGAGAAGAAGCCCCGGCUAACUUCGUGCCAGCAGCCGCCGCCGUAA
rnacentral:rRNA from 1 species